rnacentral:rRNA from 1 species
UACGUAGGGUGCGAGCGUUGUCCGGAAUUAUUGGGCGUAAAGGGCGCGUAGGCGGUUUGACCAGUCUGAUGUGAAAUCUCUGGGCUCAACCCAGAGUCUGCAUUAGAAACUGUCGGGCUUGAGUAUGGGAGAGGUGAGUGGAAUUUCCGGUGUAGCGGUGAAAUGCGUAGAUAUCGGAAGGAACACCUGUGGCGAAAGCGGCUCACUGGACCAUAACUGACGCUGAGGCGCGAAAGCUAGGGGAGCAAACAGG